rnacentral:lncRNA from 1 species
GAAGAUGGCAAAAGGAGAGUUGGAGACGGAGAGCGACGAGCGUCACAAGAGGAUGGUCAUGGGGCUAGAUAUGAGGUUGGACGAAGCCCAUCGUAGAAAACUACAAAUAAGAAGAAAUCGCCACGAAAGGAUGGAGAAUAUUCAUGUGUAGGAUGAGAAGCCGAGGUUGUAGUGGGGGAUUUAAUGAUUGGGAGGAUGAUGAAGAAGAAAAGGGUGAGGUUGAGCAGAGAUUUUAUGCUUUUUUUUUAGUUAUUUUUAAGAGUUAAAUGCUUGGUUGGUCCUUGUGGUUUGCGAAAAUUGCAGACUUGGUCCCAGUGGUUCACUAAUUACACGCGUGGUCCCAAAAGUUGUCAAAAAUGAACUCGGUUGGUCCCUUGACCUAACCUCUGUUAAAUUUCUCAGUUAAGUAUGUGUGAAAUGACUAUAUUACCCUUGGAAAAUUUAAAAACUUAAAACAGUGGCUUACCCCGUCAUCAUCAUCAUCAUCAUCAUCAUUAUCAUCUUCCCUCUCUAAAAGAAACCCUACCACCCAAUCUACCUGCCACCAUCACCUCCUUCAACCUCCACCGUCACUUUCACAAAUUAAACCCACCAGGAGCUUCUCGAUUUCCUCUCUCUGUGUAUAAUGAUACCCACCACCAAUGGUUCCAGGAGCUUCUCUCUUCCUCUCUCUAUGUAUAAUGAUACUCUGCUUGAAUAGGGUUCUAACUGCGAUGUAGAAGCAGGUUGAAUUACUUACGGUUUUUUGUGUAAUUAGAUUGCUAUGAAGCAGUAUAGUUAGAUUGUUAUGAAGCAGGUUGAAUUGCUUACAGUUUUUAGUAUAAUUAGAUUGUUUUUGUAUAUCCUUACACAUAAUUGCAAAAGGUAUAAUGUUUUGACACCGUUGAAUUUGUUAAUUGGUUGAUCCAGAAGACUGAAUCUGAUGAUUUUGGGCAAGUGUUUGAAAAAUUGGAGAAGGACAUUGGAGAACCUGUUAAGUUUGGACUUCCUGAUUGGGUAAAUAAGUCAAAACCUCAGUAUACAAUCAUAAGGCGCAAUAUCCUCUAUAACUGUUGAGAUUUGAUCUAUCUUGUUACAGAGGUUAUAAUUAUGCAAUUUUACUUUGUGACGGUGGCAGGUAGAUUGGGUUUAAUUUGUGAAAGUGGUUGA